GACGAACGCUGGCGGCGUGCUUAACACAUGCAAGUCGAACGGAAAGGCCCUGCUUUUGUGGGGUGCUCGAGUGGCGAACGGGUGAGUAACACGUGAGUAACCUGCCCUUGACUUUGGGAUAACUUCAGGAAACUGGGGCUAAUACCGGAUAGGAGCUCCUGCUGCAUGGUGGGGGUUGGAAAGUUUCGGCGGUUGGGGAUGGACUCGCGGCUUAUCAGCUUGUUGGUGGGGUAGUGGCUUACCAAGGCUUUGACGGGUAGCCGGCCUGAGAGGGUGACCGGCCACAUUGGGACUGAGAUACGGCCCAGACUCCUACGGGACGCAGCAGUGGGGAAUAUUGCACAAUGGGCGGAAGCCUGAUGCAGCAACGCCGCGUGCGGGAUGACGGCCUUCGGGUUGUAUACCGCUUUCGCCUGUGACGAAGCGUGAGUGACGGUAAUGGGUAAAGAAGCACCGGCUAACUACGUG
rnacentral:rRNA from 1 species